rnacentral:siRNA from 1 species
GUCGGCUUGUCCCUUCGG